GGAGAGGCAGAGGUAUUGACCCAAUUGCAGAGUGGGUAGAAUUAAAUUAACUCAAGAUCCACGAGCAGGCAGAAGUGAACAUCAAUACUUACAAAAGAAAUCCAGAAGUUCUAAGUUUAUUCAUCAAAUACACCGAAUAACACAGCGUCAUCCUGCACAAUGAAGUUUCUGUGACAUGACACACAGCAUCUACGUAGUUUGAGCUAGGUCUUCCCUCUACUGAAGUGCUGGAACAUGGCACAGGUUCCAGUGAUGACGACGGAGCAAUAGGCCGGUGGUGGCUGGUCCCCUUCAGGGGUGUGAGGUGCGGGAGGCCCCCCCCCCCCCUCUGGACAUCGAGGGGCCCCCGGCGUACUCCUUCUGCUCCAUCAUCGACUCGAGGCACCAGGCGGGGGGCCUCCAGUACCUCGUGGAGUGGGAGGGGUACGGCCCGAAGGAGCGGAGCUGGGUUCUGGUGAGGGACGUCCUGGCUCCCGUCCUCGUUCGUGAGUUCCAUCGGCGUCGUCCGGAUCACCCUGAUCCGCGUCCCCCGGGUCGGCCCCGGGGCCGGUGUCGUCGCGGCGCCUCAGAGGGGGGGUACUGUGACAACUGCGCCCUCUGCUGCUUCACCUCCCCCUGCAGCAGACAGACUCCAGCGUUCGACGUCACCGGCCUUCUGACACCACCGUCCAUCUCAUUAUGCAUUUCACCUGUGUCUUGUUUAGCGCACCUGGUUCUCAUCCUCAUCAUUCCCCCCCAGUAUAUAUGUUCCCUCUGCUCCCCCUGUCUUUGUGUUAUUGUCUCACUGUUACCAAAAGAGCAGUGUCGCGCUUCGUAUGUACAUCACUCCAUUAUUAAAAGAUAC
ensembl:lncRNA